AAGUCGUAACAAGGUUUCCGUAGGUGAACCUGCGGAAGGAUCAUUAGUGAAUUGAAUAUGUUAGCGGACCUCUUCGGAGUCCCUAGCAUCAAAUCAUAUCCAUAACACCUGUGAACUGUAAGGCUGUCUUGAAAACGAAAGUGAUUAGAGCGCCUGCCCAUUUUAUACAAACAUUAAAGUAACAAACGUAGUCUUAUUAUAAUCUAAUAAAACUUUCAACAACGGAUCUCUUGGCUCUCGCAUCGAUGAAGAACGCAGCGAAAUGCGAUAAGUAAUGUGAAUUGCAGAAUUCAGUGAAUCAUCGAAUCUUUGAACGCACCUUGCGCUCUUUGGUAUUCCGAAGAGCAUGCCUGUUUGAGUGUCAUGAAAAUAUCAACCUUGACUUGGGUUUAGUGCUCUUGUCUUGGCUUGGAUUUGGCUGUUUGCCGCUCGAAAGGGUCGGCUCAGCUUAAAAGUAUUAGCUGGAUCUGUCUUUGAGACUUGGUUUGACUUGGCGUAAUAAGUUAUUUCGCUGAGGACAAUCUUCGGAUUGGCCGAGUUUCUGGGACGUUUGUCCGCUUUCUAAUACAAGUUCUAGCUUGCUAGACAUGACUUUUUUAUUAUCUGGCCUCAAAUCAGGUAGGACUACCCACUGAACUUAAGCAUAUCAAUAAGCGGAGGAAAAGAAACUAACAAGGAUUCCCCUAGUAACGGCGAGUGAAGCGGGAAGAGCUCAAAUUUGAAAUCUGGUGGCCUCAGGCUAUCCGAGUUGUAAUCUAUAGAAACAUUUUCCGCGUUGGCCCAUGUACAAGUCUCUUGGAAUAGAGCGUCAUAGAGGGUGAGAAUCCCGUCCUUGACAUGGACUACCAGUGCUUUGUGAUAUGUUUUCAACGAGUCGAGUUGUUUGGGAAUGCAGCUCAAAAUGGGUGGUAAAUUCCAUCUAAAGCUAAAUAUUGGCGAGAGACCGAUAGCGAACAAGUACCGUGAGGGAAAGAUGAAAAGCACUUUGGAAAGAGAGUUAAACAGUAUGUGAAAUUGUUGAAAGGGAAACGAUUGAAGUCAGUCGUGUCUAUUGGACUCAGCCGGUUCUGCCGGUGUACUUCCUUUAGAUGGGGUCAACAUCAGUUUUGAUCGCUGGAAAAGGGCAGGAGGAAUGUAGCACUCUCGGGUGAACUUAUAGCCUUCUGUCGCAUACAGUGGUUGGGACUGAGGAACGCAGCUUGCCUUUAUGGCCGGGAUUUAUCCACGUACAAGCUUAGGAUGUUGACAUAAUGGCUUUAAACGACC
rnacentral:rRNA from 1 species